AUGGGUCUCUUAUUUCUUCUUCUCAGUGAAACCCGCGUCCCCGAAGGCCGUGAGCUUCGAGUGGCAUCAGGACUCAGUCACGGUGACGUGUCCUGACCUGGGGUACAAGGAUCUCCUCUAUGAGGUCCAGCACCAGAGCAUCUUUGACUCCAAGUGGCAGGUGAGGCGGGCGGCCGCGACGCAGGGCAGCGGUGGCUGAGCGUCCCCCGGAUACGGGCUGUGGGACUCGCUGUUUAUGAGAACCCAGGUCCCCUCGGGCUCCACCUCCCUGAAUUCCACUCCGCUGUUUCUUCCCGAGACAGCUCUAGUCCAGCUUGACUUCUGCAUGGCUCUCUCUGUGUCUCCGAGGGGGCUCCAGAGAAAGAGAACCGACAACAUGGCUGUCAGUCCAUCAGUCUGUUUCUCUAUCUAUCUAUGCAUCUAUCUAUCUAUCUAUCUACCUAUCUAUCUAUCAUCUAUCUAUCUAUCUAUCUAUCUAUGCAUCUAUCUAUCUAUCUAUCUAUCAUCUAUCUAUCUACCUAUCUAUCAUCUAUCUAUCUAUCUAUCUAUCAUCUAUCUAUCUAUCUAUCUAUCAUCUAUCUAUCAUCUAUCUAUCUAUCUAUCUAUGCAUCUAUCUAUCUAUCUAUCAUCUAUCUAUCUAUCUAUCUAUCUAUCAUCUAUCUAUCUAUCUAUCUAUCAUCUAUCUAUCUAUCUAUCAUCUAUCUAUCUAUCUACCAUCUAUCUAUCUAUCUAUCUAUCAUCUAUCUAUCUAUCUAUCAUCUAUCUAUCUAUCACCUAUCUAUCUAUCAUCUAUCUAUCUAACUAUCUAUCAUCUAUCUAUCUAUGCAUCUAUCUAUCUAUCAUCUAUCUAUCUAUCUAUCAUCUAUCUAUCUAUCUAUGCAUCUAUCUAUCUAUCAUCUAUCUAUCUAUCAUCUAUCUAUCAUCUAUCCAUCUAUCUAUCAUCUAUCUAUCAUCUAUCUAUCUAUCAUCUAUCUAUCUAUCAUCUAUCUAUCUAUCUAUCUAUCAUCUAUCUAUCUAUCAUCUAUCUAUCUAUCUAU
rnacentral:lncRNA from 13 species